GAAUAUAUGAACAUAUGCAUGUGUCGUGGAGCGUGAGGUUUUUUUCGUUACGGAAUUUCUGGAUUCGGUCUCCGCGCUCAAGGCCCGCGAUAGAAGCUAUGCAAUAGCUUAAAAAUUAAAAAUAUCAGUUUUUCAUCACAUGUCAGUCUUUUACAUUUAGCGCUCCUUUUGCAUAGCUCACUAACUUCCACAUGAUUAUUGAUAAAUGACAUGUCAUUUACUUAUGUGUUUCCAAAUAAAAAAUUUCAAUACCGCAAAAGGUACCAUUAUAAAGUGUUGUUAAAUAUGCACAACACUUUAAAAUUUUAAGUGGUAAUGUUUUCGAGUGUAUAAUAGGUACCAAAAAAGCCAUUGCAGCAGACGAAAUAUCCGUUUUGUUUGAGAUGCUAAGUUUGUUAGAAAUAUUUCAUGAAGCAACAGAAAUGGUUUCUGGAAAUAAUUAAGUACGUGAAAAUAAUUUUAAUGUUUCAUUAACAUCAUCGGAAGCCACAAUUUUGUGCCCAGAUUUGCUUUGUGGAAUAACAAAAGUAUUAUCUACAUUUGAAUCGAGAACACCAUCGCGGAUGGGUACAUUACUCGACCCACGUUUCAAAAAAUAAGGUUUCGAAUCUGAGACUAAUACACAAAAGUCUGUUAGUUGCUUAAAGCAGGAAGUGCCAUCUUUACGUGAGAAAGCAAUUCACGGCGCAGACUACACCAGUUCAUCUUUGCUUGAUGUCAUAGACAUGCGCGUGACGGAAAAAGUAAAAAACUCACGUUCAGAUAAAGUAAUAAUGCUGAGGCAAUAUUAUGAAAGACAUUAAGACCAGUGAAGAUCCACUUCUUUUUUUGAAGUUUGCAGGCGAUGAAUUAAAUGCAAUAAAAGAUUGUAUGCCUAAAUACUUGUGUAAUGCAAAAACAUCUAUGAAAUCAGAGCGCAUUUUUAGCAAGUGUGGAAUGCUGAUGACAGACCGGCAAACUCGCUUAAAAUCAGAAAAUGUUAAUAUGCUAAUUUUCUGUUAUGGAAACUUUGGAUUAUUCAAAAAUAAAUAAUAAUUAUUAUCAUAACAAUA